AGUGAACGCUGGCGGUAGGCCUAACACAUGCAAGUCGAACGGCAGCACAGUAAGAGCUUGCUCUUACGGGUGGCGAGUGGCGGACGGGUGAGGAAUACAUCGGAAUCUACUUUUUCGCGGGGGAUAACGUAGGGAAACUUACGCUAAUACCGCAUACGACCUACGGGUGAAAGCAGGGGAUCUUCGGACCUUGCGCGAUUGAAUGAGCCGAUGUCGGAUUAGCUAGUUGGCGGGGUAAAGGCCCACCAAGGCGACGAUCCGUAGCUGGUCUGAGAGGAUGAUCAGCCACACUGGAACUGAGACACGGUCCAGACUCCUACGGGAGGCAGCAGUGGGGAAUAUUGGACAAUGGGCGCAAGCCUGAUCCAGCCAUACCGCGUGAGUGAAGAAGGCCUUCGGGUUGUAAAGCCCUUUUGUUGGGAAAGAAAAGCAGCAGGUUAAUACCCCGCUGUUCUGACGGUACCCAAAGAAUAAGCACCGGCUAACUUCGUG
rnacentral:rRNA from 1 species